CAGAAGGAUGCUGAUGAAAACCACAUCAUCCCAAUGCUCACUCACAGAACAUGAUUGGCUUGAAGUCAAAAGUGGGGAGUAAGGAAGGUAGGGCAGCAUCUUUCUUACAACUCAUCCAUCCAUACACAGAGUACUUGCUGCAGGUAACUAUUCACUGGAGUCUAGUGUUCAGGACUGACACAGUGUUAUAGUGCAAGUUUAAAAGUUCUGAGCCAGAAAUGACAAAAUCAGCUUAGAGGUUACUUUGGAGAAUGGUAAAACAGUAGCAUGUGGUUAAACAGUACAUUUCAUGUACAGCAGUUGAACUGCUGCAUAACAAGUGACAAGAGGAAGAUCACAACCAAAUCAUAGAUUACUGAUGACUUCCACAAGGUCAGGCAAAGAACUAUAGAAUAAUCAGGGAGAGAACCCAGUUAAACUAGCUUCUAGGUCUAGGGGCCUAUUUAUGGCUCAGUAUCAAGUCAGGUUCUGGGCAGAGAAAGAAACAUUUCCCUGUAUGCUCUUGUGGGGGCUAAUGUAUAUGCCAGUCACUAGCAAAAGAAACUUUAUAAGCUUUUUCCCUUUAAAACAGGUUGACUUUCUUCAAGGUAGAGUCAGCAAUUAGCACAGCCGGGUUGGGACAGAUAUGGUUGUUGUAGUAGUGAUGAGAAGUUAAUUACUUCCAAGUGAAAAUGAAGUGACUGCAUAGAGGAGCCAGGAUGACCCAAGUUCUCUUCUCUGGCUGUUUGUGAGGCAUUGUGACUCUGUGAUCUUGUCAAGGAUGAAUUGGACUUGUCACAUAAUGUCAAGGAUCAAGAGCUUGUCAGUGAUUAAUUACAUUUGCAUUCAAACAUUGUGUAACCCUGUAGCUCACUGUGUUCAUGGUAACACAUUGCUGUCAUCUGUAACAGGUUUUGUAGGAGGACUUCAGAUUUUGUCUGAACGUGUAUUGACUUGCCUGGAGCUUUGCCUUAACUCAUUUAGCUGCAACAGCAAUUUCUUAAGAACUAGGUGACUAUUACGCAAGUUGUUCUACUUUUGCUUAGCUUUGUACAGUACUGUGAUAUGUUUCUUACUUAGCUGAGAGUAACAAGUAGCUAUUUUCUGUAGAAUGAACCCUGUAGGACCCUAACAAAGUAACACAGCAUAAAAAACUAUAAACAUGGCAUCACAGGAGAGAACUCAAAAGGAGAGAUAAUGGAUGUGUUGCAGAGGCAUGCAGAUAAGAGAUGCUGGCAGAGAGCAUAGGAUGAUACUUGAGAACCCAGAGCUAUAAACAGCACGCCAGAGGUCAAUGAUUAAUAGCUAAUAAGUGCAGGCCUGGCAACUAAGUAAAACUGAUUUUAGGAGGAAAAAGAGAAAGCACCCAGUGUAUGUAAAACCUCAUAUAUUGUGAGAUCAGCCACCGUGAGAUCCAGAUGAGUAGUGGAAAGGUGAGUAUAACAGUGAAGAAGGGAUAAAAACUAAGAGAUGUGUAACAGUUUCACCUGUAUCAUUACUGAGAUUCAACAGCAUUCUUUUUGUAGGUUGGUUGUUUUUUGUUGUUGUUGUUGGUGGUUUUUUUUUAAUAGUAAUUAGAUCAGGAUUAAUAAUUCAGUGAUUGCAAACUACAUUUUCAGUGAUGGUAACAAUACAUUCUUUGCUUUGCUCAUAAA